rnacentral:rRNA from 1 species
CUCCGGUUGAUCCUGCCGGACCCGACUGCUAUCGGAUUGAGAUUUAGCCAUGCGAGUCGAACGUCCCCCUGUUGCGGGGGGCGUGGCGUACGGCUCAGUAACACGUAGUCAACCUGCCCUGGAGACAAGGACAACCCCGGGAAACUGGGAUUAAUCCUUGAUAGGUCAUCUCAUCUGGAAGGAGAGAUGGCUUAAAGGGGUACGCGGGCUUCUUCCGCGAAUUCGCUCCAGGAUGGGACUGCGUCCGAUCAGGCUGUUGGCGGGGUAAUGGCCCACCAAACCUGUAACCGGUACGGGCCUUGAGAGAGGUGGCCCGGAGAUGGACACUGAGAGAAGGGUCCAGGUCCUACGGGGCGCAGCAGGCGCGAAACCUUCGCAAUGCGCGAAAGCGUGACGAGGUUAAUCCGAGUGACUCCCGCUUAGGGGGUCUUUUGUCAGCUGUAAAUAGGCAGGCGAAUAAGGGGAGGGCAAGCCUGGUGUCAGCCGCCGCGGUAAUACCAGCUCCUCGAGUGGUCGGGGCGAUUAUUGGGCCUAAAGCAUCCGUAGCCGGUUCCGUAGGUCCUCUGUUAAAUCCAACCGCUUAACGGUUGACCUGCAGAGGAUACCGCGGGACUAGGAGGCGGGAGAGGCGGACGGUACUCCGCGUGUAGGGGUAAAAUCCUUUGAUCCGCGGAAGACCACCAGUGGCGAAGGCGGUCCGCCAGAACGCGCUCGACGGUGAGGGAUGAAAGCUGGGGGAGCGAACCGGAUUAGAUACCCGGGUAGUCCCAGCCGUAAACGAUGCUAGCUAGAUGAUUCAUUCGCAAGUCGCGAAUGAAGUGUCGCAGGGAAGCCGUUAAGCUAGCCGCCUGGGGAGUACGGUCGCAAGACUGAAACUGGAAGCCGGGUCCACGCUUUA